rnacentral:rRNA from 1 species
GACGAACGCUGGCGGCGUGCUUAACACAUGCCAGUCGAACGGAAAGGCCCCUUUGGGGGUACUCGAGUGGCGAACGGGUGCGUAACACGUGAGUAACCUGCCCUUGACUUCGGGAUAACUUCAGGAAACUGGGGCUAAUACCGGAUAGGAAUCCUUGCUGCAUGGUGGGGGUUGGAAAGCUUCGGCGGUUUUGGCUGGACUCGCGGCUUAUCAGCUUGUUGGUGGGGUAGUGGCUUACCAAGGCUUUGACGGGUAGCCGGCCUGAGAGGGCGACCGGCCACAGUGGGACUGAGAUACGGCCCAGACGCCGACGGGAGGCAGCAGGGGGGAAUAUUGCACAAUGGGCGGAAGCCGGAUGCAGCAACGCCGCGUGCGGGAUGACGGCCUUCGGGUUGUAAACCGCUUUCAGCAGGGGCGAAGCUUGUGGUGACGGUACCUGCAGAAGAAGCACCGGCUAACUACGUG